rnacentral:lncRNA from 1 species
AAUGAGAUAAUAACAGAAUAUGACAGUAGCAUGAUAGACAUAUUAUAUCAUGUAUUUAAUGCACAAUAAAAAGAAACACAAUAUAAUUAUUUUAUUGUUUUAUGUGUUUGACAUAUAUUGUUUAUUGACAUCAUAUGAUAAAUAUUGCAUUUAAAAUAUAAAAUUAUUCUUUAAAAAAAUUACAUAGUUUUUUGAAAUUAGUUCCAAAUAAAUUUUGA